CCGGGAGCCACCGGCUCAUAUGACGGUUAUUUUGGAGAACUUUAGAUUUGGCCUCGUUUUCAAAACCUGAAGCGGCGGCCUACUCAGAUAUGGCGGGAGAAGCAGGCAUAGAGACAGUGACCUAAAGUGUUGACAGUUCAAAGGCUUGUAUUACAGUAUAACAAUUAAGAUGUCAGUGUUACACAGCUGAAUAUACAUGUACAUUGCCAAGUAGCUUGAAGAACAUGAAAGGGACCAGGAUUAAUCAUUUUGCCAUUCCUUGGCAAUUAUGACAGAAGCUCAAGCACCUAUCAUGAAGCCAUAAAUAAAGUUAUUUAAUCCUUUUAAAACUGCAAACAUUCUUUUAAAACUUGGUUACAGUUCUUUCUAAUGAAUAAAAUACAUUAACAGAUUCAUGUAAUAUCAUUUAAUGUGGAAGUUUUUAAAUGAAGUUUGGCUGUGAAAUCACCACUAUGACACUUACAAAAAUAAAUUCAAAUAAAAAUAUAGACUGGUACAGGACUAACUGGUAUCAGUGAAAUAAAUUGCUGAUCCCAGGUAAAUUUAUAAAAUUAUAAAAAUUGUUUAUAUUGAUCCUAUUUUUAAAAGGAGUAGUGUGUCCUGUGGCUAUAACUGUAUGUUAUGAUCAAGAAGUGUAAAAAAAUUGCCAUAUCAAUGUGUUGCUAAAGUAAAAAAUAAUUUUUGCCACAAAUAUACAUGUAUAUUUGCAUCAGCUUUAAUCCCUGUUGGCUGUCACAAUAUUGAUAUUUUUGUUGAUGAUAUUAUGUUUUAAAUGUUAUAUAGUUGUUCAUAUGUAAAAAAAAAAAGCAAAUUCAAUUGAUAAAAAAAGUCUUGUUUGUUAUGUUUUUAUUAGUCUUUCAAUAAAAAGAAACUGGCAGCGGGUGGCCUCAUGUAAUAGAUAAAUGCUUAUUUACAAAAAAAAAAAA